AAAUAUAUUUAUUUAUAUAUAAAUGAUUAUCAAUUCUUUUUUGAUCAAUAAAUUCAUGAUUUUUUUUUCUUUGAUAUAAAAAUAUAAUUUCAUAAAUGCUUUGAGUAAUGUUCUAUUUUCAAUAAUUUCUAGAGCAGUUUUGUCUAGUUUACAUAUAUGUAUCAGUAUAAAUGUGCAUGAGGUAUUCUUUACAAUUACUGGACUCUUAUGAAUUGAUAAAUUAAUAUCUAAAAUCUUCAGCAAAUAUUGAUUUAUGAAAAAGUGCUGAGUAGGUCCAAAGGUGUGUCAGAGGUUGAAAUUCAUCGCAGACUUUCAGUAUAAUACAAGGACAGCACUCCACCAUGUAGAAGUGUGUAUGAGUGGAUCGAGAAGUUUAAAAAUAACCGGAAAACGUGAAGCACAAAGAGGGAGCAGGAUGCCCCUCAACCUUCACCAUUUAUGUGAAGAUUCAACAAGAUCAAGCGAUGGUUAGUUCUGGUGAAUUAAUGAGCGACCAACAAAGAGAGGGUAUGUUCUCUGCAAAUUAGUCAUGGUUCUGCAUAUGAAAUCAUCCGCAAAAAGUUUUGCUUCCAUAAAGUCUGUAUGAGAUGGGUGCCAAGAGAGCUUACAGAAGUGCAUAAGCACAGUUGUGUGGAGAUCUGUUACUGCUUACUCAGCUGCUACAGUGAUGAAAGAAAAGCUUUUUUGGAGAGAACAGUCAUAGGAGAUAAGGCAUGGGUCCAAUAGGUAGAAUUUGGAAAGGAAAACUCAGAAUUGGCAGCAAAAAAGAAAUUCAAGUAAAGUGUACCACAUUUUGGGGGAACACAAGAGAGCCUAUAUUGAAACAUUAACUGGAUAAGGGGUUUAGCCACCAAUGUAGGCUACAGUGAAAUGCUGGCCAACAAACUGAAACCAGCAAUUUGCACCAAACACCAAGGUCUAUUGUCAAAGCAAGUGUUAUUGUUGCACAACAACGCAUGCCCAAAUAUGGCCACCCACACUAUUGAAACCAUUGAGUUUCAAGUUCCUGGAAUGCUCUGCAUAGUCCAGAUCUCAUCCCUUCUGACUAUCAUCUCUUUGGACCACUCAAACAUUCUUUAUGAGGUUGAUGAUCUGCUACAGAUAAAGAGGUGCAGGUAGUAGUACAUAAAUGGUUGUGCAACCUUCAGAAAAACUUUCACUGAUGAAAUGAGUAAACUUGUAGACUGCUGGCAGAGCAUUGAAAAGCAAAGGAACUAUGUUGAAAAAUGAUGUAAAUGUUCACACCCCAGCUUUUGUUUUAACAAAUUACAGAACAAGAGUCUAUGUAACUUUUGACUUAUCCUUGUACAUUU
rnacentral:lncRNA from 1 species